rnacentral:rRNA from 1 species
GACGAACGCUGGCGGCGUGCUUAACACAUGCAAGUCGAACGGAAAGGCCCUGCUUUUGUGGGGUGCUCGAGUGGCGAACGGGUGAGUAACACGUGAGUAACCUGCCCUUGACUUUGGGAUAACUUCAGGAAACUGGGGCUAAUACCGGAUAGGAGCUCCUGCUGCAUGGUGGGGGUUGGAAAGUGUCGGCGGUUGGGGAUGGACUCGCGGCUUAUCAGCUUGUUGGUGGGGUAGUGGCUUACCAAGGCUUUGACGGGUAGCCGGCCUGAGAAGGUGACCGGCCACAUUGGGACUGAGAUACGGCCCAGACUCCUACGGGAGGCAGCAGUGGGGAAUAUUGCACAAUGGGCGGAAGCCUGAUGCAGCAACGCCGCGUGCGGGAUGACGGCCUUCGGGUUGUAAACCGCUUUCGCCUGUGACGAAGCGUGAGUGACGGUAAUGGGUAAAGAAGCACCGGCUAACUACGUG